rnacentral:rRNA from 1 species
GGUCAUUUAGAGGAAGUAAAAGUCGUAACAAGGUUUCCGUAGGUGAACCUGCGGAAGGAUCAUUAUUGAAUACUCUUGAUGAGUUGUAGCUGGCUCUCCGGGGCAUGUGCACGCUUGUCUUGAUUUUAUUCAUCCACCUGUGCACCUUUUGUAGUCUUGGGGGUUGAAAGCAGUCGACUAUCGGAUGGCUAUGGCUUUUCCGGAUGUGAGAAAUGCUGAGUGCAUGGACGCAUACAGCUCUUCUCAAAUGACUUGCAUACCCUUGAGUACUAUGUAUUCAUAUACCACGUCGUAUGUUGUAGAAUGUGAUCAAUGGGUCUAUGUACCUAUAAUAAUCAUAUACAACUUUCAGCAACGGAUCUCUUGGCUCUCGCAUCGAUGAAGAACGCAGCGAAAUGCGAUAAGUAAUGUGAAUUGCAGAAUUCAGUGAAUCAUCGAAUCUUUGAACGCACCUUGCGCUCCUUGGUAUUCCGAGGAGCAUGCCUGUUUGAGUGUCAUUAAAUUCUCAACCCCUCCAGUUGUGAUGGGGCUUGGAUAUGGGAGUUUGCGGGUCCUUUAUCAGUAAAGGUCAGCUCUCCUGAAAUACAUUAGCGGAACCGUUUGCAGUCCCGUCACUAGUGUGAUAAUUAUCUACACUGUGAUGAUUGCUCUCUGACUAGUUCAGCUGCUAAUCGUCCGUUACGGACAAUGUUUAAUGAACUUCUUGACCUCAAAUCAGGUAGGACUACCCGCUGAACUUAAGCAUAUCAAUAAGCGGAGGAAAAGAAACUAACAAGGAUUCCCCUAGUAACUGCGAGUGAAGCGGGAAAAGCUCAAAUUUAAAAUCUGGCAGUCUUUGGCUGUCCGAGUUGUAAUCUAGAGAAGUGAUGCCCGCGCUGGACCGUGUACAAAGUCUC